AGAGUUUGAUCCUGGCUCAGAUUGAACGCUGGCGGCAGGCCUAACACAUGCAAGUCGAGCGGAUGAAGGGAGCUUGCUCCCUGAUUUAGCGGCGGACGGGUGAGUAAUGCCUAGGAAUCUGCCUGGUAGUGGGGGAUAACGUUCCGAAAGGAACGCUAAUACCGCAUACGUCCUACGGGAGAAAGCAGGGGACCUUCGGGCCUUGCGCUAUCAGAUGAGCCUAGGUCGGAUUAGCUAGUUGGUGAGGUAAUGGCUCACCAAGGCGACGAUCCGUAACUGGUCUGAGAGGAUGAUCAGUCACACUGGAACUGAGACACGGUCCAGACUCCUACGGGAGGCAGCAGUGGGGAAUAUUGGACAAUGGGCGAAAGCCUGAUCCAGCCAUGCCGCGUGUGUGAAGAAGGUCUUCGGAUUGUAAAGCACUUUAAGUUGGGAGGAAGGGCAGUAAGCUAAUACCUUGCUGUUUUGACGUUACCGACAGAUAAGCACCGGCUAACUUCGUGCCAGCAGCCGCGGU
rnacentral:rRNA from 1 species